rnacentral:lncRNA from 1 species
GUCUCUGUGUGGUCUCUUCAGCAUAGCAACAGCAGCGUAGCUGAACAUCUUACGGAUGGCCCAGGGCUCCAAAGGCUCGUUUCCUAAGUGAGAGAGAGCCUGGCUGAAGCUGUAUUACCAUUCAUUCUCCAGCCUCCGAAGUCUCAAAGCAUCACUUCCACCAUACUCUAACUGUCAAGACAAACACAAAGGCCCAGAAACUGCCAGACUGUCUUCUGAAGUGGCUAUAAUAUUUACACUCCCAUCAGCAGUGUAGAAGGGGUCUCACUAUGUUGUCUGGAGUGCUGUGGUGGAGUGGAGUGGCUAUUCACAGAGCCUGUUCUGCUGGGACACAGAAUCACUUGCUCCAUCUCAUACAUUGAUGAUGAUUAAUUUGUAUGUGUACCUUCCAAAAAAGAUGGUUGUGUUUGAAUGGAGGCCUUCUGGACAGGAAAAUAUGGAGAGUGCGUGCUUUGGAUUCAAGACUGGGAAUGAGGGGACCAGAAACCUAUUCUGUGGCUGUUUCUUGUUAGGACUUUCCUAAGCCUCUGGAAAAGUGCAAAGUACAAUUAACAUUUGAGUCUGUCUGAGUCAUGAAGAAAUGGAGAUUACUGAAAAUAAUUCAUUUUGGUAUCUUCUUACAUCCUGAGAGACUAAUCUUUCCAAGUUCAUCUGAGGCUCCUCUUCUCCAUGACAACCUCAUCCAGGGAUUUCUUCCUGUCCUGGUGUUUUAUGACAUAAUCACAUCCUUCCUGAGAUAAUGAGCACACAAUUGCCUGGAUACCUGAAGGAAUGGAGACAGCGGCAGAAAACACUGCAGAGAGAUACAGUGAACCCACAUGUUGAAGCUUUCUAGUAUAAUAAAAAUUUCAACUGUUCUGUUGAAUCAUCUGCCUGAUUGGAGGCUACAGAAAAGAUGUCAUCUUAGGAGUGCUUGCUCUGAGUGAGGCUCAUCUUCAAAUCUGAAUGACCACAAGGAGAUUUGAUUAUACAUGUGAACACCUCAGAAGGCACAGCCCACCCAGAAGGCAGACAGGUCAGGCUGCUUUUUCUUCAUUGCUUGGAUUCAAUCCUCCGGGCGGCUCAGGCUCAAACAUAACUUAAGCAUGAUUAAACUUUAGAAGAAGCUGCCAGGAAGACUGUGAAAUCUUCAUGCCCAAGGAUCCCUAAAAUUAGGAGCAACAACCACUUGGCUCAGACGGUUUAUGGAGGCAAAGGUUUGGAUGGGAUUAGAGAUUUCUAAAUGUGAGUUCGUGUCCUCUGCCAGACCACCUUACUUCCACCAUUCCUCAGCAAAUCAAGAAAAACAGGAGAAAAGACAUGCCUUUCCAUAAGUUAAAUCUAUUCUGUUUUAAUUCUAUAUUAUAUCUGCUGUACAACUUCUUUUGUUUGUAACACCAUAUUGUUGCUAGUAACUGGAAAUUAAUUUUCACAUGCCUCAGCUUAGAAAAAUAAAAAGCAGCCCUGCAUCAAUCCCAA